rnacentral:rRNA from 1 species
GAUGAACGCUGGCGGCGUGCCUAAUACAUGCAAGUCGAGCGAACGGACGAGAAGCUUGCUUCUCUGAUGUUAGCGGCGGACGGGUGAGUAACACGUGGAUAACCUACCUAUAAGACUGGGAUAACUUCGGGAAACCGGAGCUAAUACCGGAUAAUAUUUUGAACCGCAUGGUUCAAAAGUGAAAGACGGUCUUGCUGUCACUUAUAGAUGGAUCCGCGCUGCAUUAGCUAGUUGGUAAGGUAACGGCUUACCAAGGCAACGAUGCAUAGCCGACCUGAGAGGGUGAUAGGCCACACUGGAACUGAGAAACGGUCCAGACUCCUACGGGAGGCAGCAGUAGGGAAUCUUCCGCAAUGGGCGCAAGCCUGACGGAGCAACGCCGCGUGAGUGAUGAAGGUCUUCGGAUCGUAAAACUCUGUUAUUAGGGAAGAACAUAUGUGUAAGUAACUGUGCACAUCUUGACGGUACCUAAUCAGAAAGCCACGGCUAACCACGUG